AAACCAACAGGGAUUGCCCCAGUAACGGCGAGUGAAGCGGCAAAAGCUCAAAUUUGAAAUCCCUCGGGAAUUGUAAUUUGAAGGUUCAGAAACUUCGGCACAGCAAGUCCAUUGGAACAUGGCGCCACAGAGGGUGAGAGCCCCGUAAAAGCAGCCGUUCAAUUUCUGGACCAAAGAGUCGAGUUGUUUGGGAAUGCAGCUCUAAGUGGGUGGUAAAUUCCAUCUAAAGCUAAAUAUGGGCGAGAGACCGAUAGCGAACAAGUACAGUGAUGGAAAGAUGAAAAGCACUUUGAAAAGAGAGUGAAACAGUACGUGAAAUUGUUGAAAGGGAAGGGCUUGCAAGCAGACACUACUAUUAGUAGGGCCAGCAUCAGGUGGAUGGGGCGGGAAAAAACCAAAGAAAUGUAGCUUUCGAGUAUUAUAGACUUUGGGCAUACCGCCACCGCCGCCUGAGGCCUGCGAAAAUUCUAGGAUGCUGGCGUAAUGGUUGCAAGUCGC
rnacentral:rRNA from 1 species